UACGAAGGGGGCUAGCGUUGCUCGGAAUCACUGGGCGUAAAGCGCACGUAGGCGGCUUUCUAAGUCAGGGGUGAAAUCCUGGAGCUCAACUCCAGAACUGCCUUUGAUACUGGACAUCUUGAGUACGGGAGAGGUGAGUGGAACACCGAGUGUAGAGGUGAAAUUCGUAGAUAUUCGGUAGAACACCAGUGGCGAAGGCGACUCACUGGCCCGUUACUGACGCUGAGGCGCGAAAGCGUGGGGAGCAAACAGG
rnacentral:rRNA from 1 species